rnacentral:rRNA from 1 species
CCUACGGGUGACAGCAGUGGGGAAUAUUGCACAAUGGGGGAAACCCUGAUGCAGCGACGCCGCGUGAGUGAAGAAGUAAUUCGUUAUGUAAAGCUCUAUCAGCAGGGAAGAAAAUGACGGUACCUGAGUAAGAAGCCCCGGCAAACUACGUGCCAGCAGCCGCGGUAAUAAGUAGGGGGCAAGCGUUAUCCGGAUUUACUGGGUGUAAAGGGGGCGUAGACGGCAGUGCAAGUCUGGAGUGAAAGGCGGGGGCUCAACCCCCGGACUGCUCUGGAAACUGUGCGGCUGGAGUGCAGGAGAGGUAAGUGGAAUUCCUAGUGUAGCGGUGAAAUGCGUAGAUAUUAGGAGGAACACCAGUGGCGAAGGCGGCUUACUGGACUGUAACUGACGUUGAGGCUCGAAAGCGUGUGGAGCAAACAGGAUUAGAUACCCCAGUAGUC